rnacentral:rRNA from 1 species
UUAAGCGACUAAGCGUACACGGUGGAUGCCCUGGCAGUCAGAGGCGAUGAAGGGCGUGCUAAUCUGCGAUAAGCGCCGGUAAGGUGAUAUGAACCGUUAUAACCGGCGAUACCCGAAUGGGGAAACCCAGUGUGACUCGUCACACUAUCAUUAACUGAAUCCAUAGGUUAAUGAGGCGAACCGGGGGAACUGAAACAUCUAAGUACCCCGAGGAAAAGAAAUCAACCGAGAUUCCCCCAGUAGCGGCGAGCGAACGGGGAGGAGCCCAGAGCCUGAAUCAGCAUGUGUGUUAGUGGAAGCGUCUGGAAAGGCGCGCGAUACAGGGUGACAGCCCCGUACACAAAAGCGCAUGUGCUGUGAGCUCGAUGAGUAGGGCGGGACACGUGGUAUCCUGUCUGAAUAUGGGGGGACCAUCCUCCAAGGCUAAAUACUCCUGACUGACCGAUAGUGAACCAGUACCGUGAGGGAAAGGCGAAAAGAACCCCGGCGAGGGGAGUGAAAAAGAACCUGAAACCGUGUACGUACAAGCAGUGGGAGCCCCACCACUAAGCCAGUGGUGAACUCCACAUACGCAUCCUUUGCUGAGGAUACGGUUAACGGAGCGAAAGCGACGUUCAACCGCAAAAGAAGCAGAGGGGGCUUAGUGGUGGGGUGACUGCGUACCUUUUGUAUAAUGGGUCAGCGACUUAUAUUCUGUAGCAAGGUUAACCGAAUAGGGGAGCCGGAGGGAAACCGAGUCUUAAUUGGGCGUUAAGUUGCAGGGUAUAGACCCGAAACCCGGUGAUCUAGCCAUGGGCAGGUUGAAGGUUGGGUAACACUAACUGGAGGACCGAACCGACUAAUGUUGAAAAAUUAGCGGAUGACCUGUGGCUGGGGGUGAAAGGCCAAUCAAACCGGGAGAUAGCUGGUUCUCCCCGAAAGCUAUUUAGGUAGCGCCUCGUGAAUUCAUCUCCGGGGGUAGAGCACUGUUUCGGCUAGGGGGCCAUCCCGGCUUACCAACCCGAUGCAAACUGCGAAUACCGGAGAAUGUUAUCACGGGAGACACACGGCGGGUGCUAACGUCCGUCGUGAAGAGGGAAACAACCCAGACCGCCAGCUAAGGUCCCAAAGUCAUGGUUAAGUGGGAAACGAUGUGGGAAGGCCCAGACAGCCAGGAUGUUGGCUUAGAAGCAGCCAUCAUUUAAAGAAAGCGUAAUAGCUCACUGGUCGAGUCGGCCUGCGCGGAAGAUGUAACGGGGCUAAACCAUGCACCGAAGCUGCGGCAGCGACACUGUGUGUUGUUGGGUAGGGGAGCGUUCUGUAAGCCUGUGAAGGUGUGUCGUGAGGCAUGCUGGAGGUAUCAGAAGUGCGAAUGCUGACAUAAGUAACGAUAAAGCGGGUGAAAAGCCCGCUCGCCGGAAGACCAAGGGUUCCUGUCCAACGUUAAUCGGGGCAGGGUGAGUCGACCCCUAAGGCGAGGCCGAAAGGCGUAGUCGAUGGGAAACGGGUUAAUAUUCCCGUACUUGGUGUUACUGCGAAGGGGGGACGGAGAAGGCUAUGUUGGCCGGGCGACGGUUGUCCCGGUUUAAGCGUGUAGGUGUGUGUUCCAGGUAAAUCCGGUUCACUUUAACACUGAGGCGUGACGACGAGGCACUACGGUGCUGAAGCAACAAAUGCCCUGCUUCCAGGAAAAGCCUCUAAGCAUCAGGUAACAUCAAAUCGUACCCCAAACCGACACAGGUGGUCAGGUAGAGAAUACCAAGGCGCUUGAGAGAACUCGGGUGAAGGAACUAGGCAAAAUGGUGCCGUAACUUCGGGAGAAGGCACGCUGACACGUAGGUGAAGUGAUUUACUCAUGGAGCUGAAGUCAGUCGAAGAUACCAGCUGGCUGCAACUGUUUAUUAAAAACACAGCACUGUGCAAACACGAAAGUGGACGUAUACGGUGUGACGCCUGCCCGGUGCCGGAAGGUUAAUUGAUGGGGUCAGCGCAAGCGAAGCUCCUGAUCGAAGCCCCGGUAAACGGCGGCCGUAACUAUAACGGUCCUAAGGUAGCGAAAUUCCUUGUCGGGUAAGUUCCGACCUGCACGAAUGGCGUAAUGAUGGCCAGGCUGUCUCCACCCGAGACUCAGUGAAAUUGAACUCGCUGUGAAGAUGCAGUGUACCCGCGGCAAGACGGAAAGACCCCGUGAACCUUUACUAUAGCUUGACACUGAACAUUGAGCCUUGAUGUGUAGGAUAGGUGGGAGGCUUUGAAGUGUGGACGCCAGUCUGCAUGGAGCCGACCUUGAAAUACCACCCUUUAAUGUUUGAUGUUCUAACGUGGACCCGUUACCCGGGUUGCGGACAGUGUCUGGUGGGUAGUUUGACUGGGGCGGUCUCCUCCUAAAGAGUAACGGAGGAGCACGAAGGUUGGCUAAUCCUGGUCGGACAUCAGGAGGUUAGUGCAAUGGCAUAAGCCAGCUUGACUGCGAGCGUGACGGCGCGAGCAGGUGCGAAAGCAGGUCAUAGUGAUCCGGUGGUUCUGAAUGGAAGGGCCAUCGCUCAACGGAUAAAAGGUACUCCGGGGAUAACAGGCUGAUACCGCCCAAGAGUUCAUAUCGACGGCGGUGUUUGGCACCUCGAUGUCGGCUCAUCACAUCCUGGGGCUGAAGUAGGUCCCAAGGGUAUGGCUGUUCGCCAUUUAAAGUGGUACGCGAGCUGGGUUUAGAACGUCGUGAGACAGUUCGGUCCCUAUCUGCCGUGGGCGCUGGAGAACUGAGGGGGGCUGCUCCUAGUACGAGAGGACCGGAGUGGACGCAUCACUGGUGUUCGGGUUGUCAUGCCAAUGGCACUGCCCGGUAGCUAAAUGCGGAAGAGAUAAGUGCUGAAAGCAUCUAAGCACGAAACUUGCCCCGAGAUGAGUUCUCCCUGAGACUUAGAGUCUCCUGAAGGAACGUUGAAGACGACGACGUUGAUAGGCCGGGUGUGUAAGCGCAGCGAUGCGUUGAGCUAACCGGUACUAAUGAACCGUGAGGCUUAACCUU